GACGAACGCUGGCGGCGUGCCUAAUACAUGCAAGUUGAGCGAUGAAGAUUGGUGCUUGCACCCAUUUGAAGAGCAGCGAACGGGUGAGUAACGCGUAGGGAAUCUGCCUUUGAGCGGGGGACAACAUUUGGAAACGAAUGCUAAUACCGCAUAACAACUUUAAACAUAAGUUUUAAGUUUGAAAGAUGCAAUUGCAUCACUCAAAGAUGAUCCCGCGUUGUAUUAGCUAGUUGGUGAGGUAAAGGCUCACCAAGGCGAUGAUACAUAGCCGACCUGAGAGGGUGAUCGGCCACAUUGGGACUGAGACACGGCCCAAACUCCUACGGGAGGCAGCAGUAGGGAAUCUUCGGCCAUGGACGAAAGUCUGACCGGGCAACGCCGCGUGAGUGAAGAAGGUUUUCGGAUCGUAAAACUCUGUUGGUAGAGAAGAACGUUGGUGAGAGUGGAAAGCUCAUCAAGUGACGGUAACUACCCAGAAAGGGACGGCUAACUACGUG
rnacentral:rRNA from 1 species